AAUAGCUCCUUCAUUCGUUCUCCUCGCACGCGCGCAGAGGCAGCCAAAUCCCUAGAUCUUCGCCGCCUGGGCUCCCGCCGAUCGAUCCACGCCGUCCCACCGCCGCCCCACGCUGCGUGGAGCUACCGCCGGUCUAUCCCCACGCCGCUCCACCACCGCCCCACGCCGCCCUCCCUCUGCAACACCGUCCCACGCCGCCCUCCCUCUGCAGCAGCGCCGCCCAACGCCGUCCUAUCUCUCCACCGACGGCCCCACGCCCUAGUGCUCUCUCUCCGGGCGUCCGCCUCUCUCCAACCGGCAGUGGGCGUGCGAGCAUCCGGAAGCGGCCGCCACCUUCCUUGGCCCGACCUACCCCAUCUCCGCCGUCCAGAUCUCGAAGAGACACCUAGCGGCGGCGGCAAGGGCAUCGAUGCGGCUAAGGAUUCUUGCCCCCAAGUUCCAACAACACAGCUUCCAGCAGCGGUGCAGCGAUCCCCCAUCCGUGUUUGUCACUGCACGCUCCACCAGUUGAAGAAUCUCAAGAUGACAUUGGUAAUGUUUUACGUGUGAGUGUUGCUGAUGGAGGCAUUGGUUCUGCUAGGACAGGUAUAGAUGGAUUAGUUCUUAAAGCAAGUGAUAUUGAAAAAAGAGGAAAAAUGGCAAGCGCAAACGGAAAAGGUAAAGAUGGUGGGGUCAUGGAGGAACAAUAGAAAGCGGUAGAGUAUGAACUACAGAGAAGUAAGACCAUUGAAGAAAAUGAUAAACGGUUGGCGACGGCACGAGUUAUGUGCCACAGGCAGCAGCAACAAUUAAAGAUCUCAUAGAGAAAGCUGAAAAGCACCCUGAAUGGAAGGAAAAAAGCAUUCAAGAAGGUGAUCUGUUUGCACGUGUAUGCGGAAAGAAGGAGCCAAGGGGCCGUGUCCGUGUGUUAGGUCUAGGGCCAACACCUCAAGAUUUGGGCACACCGGGUACAUGGGGUAAAAUGAGCACAAGAGUUCUAGUUGCAAUGGAAGGACGUCGAGAAGCUGAAAAUUGCUUUAACAUGUUGGAGGGGCAUGUGCAGGAAAUGCAGGAACGAAUGAACCGAAUGGAACUGAUGUUAGCUUCACAAGGAGCGCAUAAUGUGCAAACUCCUAGAUCGCAGCACGGUUCCAAUUCUUGACAAAACUCAGAAGUUGAAGCUGAGGAAGAUGACGAUGAUGGUGAAGAAGAUGAUGAAGAGCCCUUUGUUCAUAGAAUAGUUAUUGCAAAGCCCCCUGCAAGAAGCUCAUCAGUUCAUGAAGAUGAAAGCCUCAUUGGUAUGGAUGUCCUUCGAUAUGCAUGGACUGGUCCUGAAACUCCUGUUGCUAAGGCAACAAUUAUCUUAGUUGAUUCAGACACUGUUGUGGGCGAAGAGCCCCUUGGACCAGCGACUUAUGAUGUUCUUGUCAAUGUUGCGACCAGAAGGGAUGCUAUGUUGCCUUAUGAAUAUGACGGUUUACGAUUGAUCGGUGAUACUGUCACAAGGUCUUUUGCAUGGCCAUCUAACAAGCCCUACAAACUAUCUUCCUCGUCCCGCCGCUAAGGUACUAUACAAGAGAUGCUUCUUGGUGCUUUCUUUUGCUCAAAGUACACAAGUUGCUAAGGUAAGACAUACAAAAGGACCAUCAAGGAACCAUGAAGAUGGCAGUUCGCGUUUGCUAGACAUCUUGUGUAAUGGAGCAAAAACAGUGUCUUUUAGGUAUCAUUUUGUGGACCUAUAUGGCGUCUUGUCAUUUGGGUAUGUUGUGUAAUGGAGCAAACAAUGAAUUGAUAGACAUGCAUCUAUCAUUUUGUAAACCUAUCGAGUGAUUCGGUGACUGGAACAUAUAAAUGUUGGAAGGCUCAUGAGAAUAAAUUACUGUUUUAUC